rnacentral:lncRNA from 1 species
GUACUCUUCUGCAGCAGCACAAAUCUGCAUAUGAAAAAUUAUUAUUGUAAUCCAUUUGAGAGGAAAGGCUGGACCGGACCGGCUUGGCUUGGUCUGCCACAAAAUUAUGCAGCAUUUUGUUUUUACUGCCAAACUGGCCACCCUGUACCGCCCCCCUAGCCGAAAGAAAGGCGUCAAGAGAUUUAUGCUUCAAGUUUUUGAAGAUUUCCGUGCCAGUCUGCCAGUCUGCCAGUCUGCCAGUUGGCCAGUCGCUGUUCUGAUUCCUUCUGGGGGUCUUGGAAAAUUUGUAGAACAUUUCGCU